GUUGAACGCUGGCGGCAGGCCUAACCCCUGCCAGUCGAACGAGUGGCGGACGGGUGAGUAAUGUCUGGGAAACUGCCUGAUGGAGGGGGAUAACUAAUGGAAACGGUAGCUAAUACCGCAUACCAUCGGAUGUGCCCAGAUGGGAUUAGCUAGGAGGUGGGGUAAAGGCUUACCUAGGCGACGAUCCCUAGCUGGUCUGAGGGGAUGACCAGCCACACUGGGACUGAGACACGGUCCAGACUCCUACGGGAGGCAGCAGUGGGGAAUAUUGCACAAUGGGCGCAAGCCUGAUGCAGCCAUGCCGCGUGUAUGAAGAAGGCCUUCGGGUUGUAAAGUACUUUCAGCGGGGAGGCGUUACCCACAGAAGAAGCACCGGCUAACUCCGUGCCAGCAGCCGCGGUAAUUC
rnacentral:rRNA from 1 species